GUUUUAAUAAUUUAACAAAAAUAUUGGUCUUGUAAACCAAAAAUAAGGAAAUCCUUUUAAAACU
rnacentral:tRNA from 6 species